rnacentral:lncRNA from 10 species
UUCAAGCCCAACCUUUGGAGUCGAGUCCCACCUCCUACCUCAGAACCACCACCAUAAUCAGGAUUUAGAAUGCAUCACCCCAAAAUGUUUCUUCAUGUCCCUGGCCCCUUGCUUUCAAUCUCCUACAGCUCCUAGAUGUGGAAUGUAUGCCCUGCAGGCUGGUCUCUUUCCUGAGAGCUGAGAUGUCCUGUCCUAAGAACAGAGCCUGGCACGUGUCGGACAACUGUGGAGGGAACUGAUGAGUGAAAGAGAGAAUGGAGAAAGGAAUGAAUCAGCAUAAGCCCCACAGGGACAAAGACUGUAACUGGAGCACCCUUUCAUCCCCACUGCUGGACACAGGGUGGGGAACACUAAAUGUGCGCUACGCA